AGAUAAAAAUUAAGAAAACCAUUAUUUUUUCAAUUUUCACAUUGAUUCCUUAUUAUCGACGAGCCGCAUGGACAAUUUACGUGAGAUUAGAACUCAUACUCACAUGAUUUUAAAUUUCGUGCAUACACAAAUCAUCAAAUCUUUUGUUAAUAUAUCUCAUUUUUUCGAUAAAACCAAUAGACACACACAAAUGCACAUAAUAACAAAGAAAUCUGUUCUAUUUGCUAAGCUUUGUGUGCGGAAACCAAUGGUUCACGGUUCAAAAAUGACGUAAAGUCCCUCAACUAUGGCGACCCCCCAAAGGCCCUAAUCCACUACCUGAUAUUUUUAAUCCACCUUGAUGGGGAGCUCGAAUGCCUCCCAAUAUGACGUCAUCGAUGGAAUGUGCCACUGCAGCAAAACGCCAAAGCACUCCACAAAAUUCUAUCGAUGUGCGUCGAUCGAGUAAACAAACCAGAAGCUGGUUCCUGAAAUUGAGUAAACAUUUGAGUGAAAAAUGGACCAUUAGGUAAAUAAAUUGUUGCUGAAAGUAAUCUGAUAACAAUGUCCGGAUUGGAAACUGCAAAAGUUGCAUGAAAUUCACCCCGAGCCAUGGCCAGGUGUCUGUAAUGUAACAAUCAUCAUCCAUUGAACCACAUUGUGCAACCACAAGCAAUGUAAUAAAAAGAUCAACGGAGGACGAAUAUGCCUCAAAACGCUUCUCGUUUGCGAAAUGUGUCUUUAAAGGAUCAAUUUUCGGACCAGAAGUACCUUUGUGGGAAGCAAUCUGCGGCAACCACUUCAGGCAAGAGUUGGUUCAGCUGUUGUUCAUUUCGGAGGCGCACUUUCUCCUUCAAAGAAUGGUAAAAGGACAGACAAAUAGGGACAGGAUCAUGGCAGGGUCCUUUAGGCUGCUUCAUGGCAAGCAAUCGGAAGAAGUCAUUAUGGGAAUUAAUUGAUGUGUAAAUAGUGGAAACAUAAUCCCGGGCUACGAGAGUGUGUUUGAGUAGGCCAUGGUGAGCUUCUGGAGAUUUCCGUUGGUCCAGAAGGCACACGAAGGUUUUGCUUGUUUGCUGUUUGUGACUGAAGACAUUGAUCGAAGCAAAGGAAUCAGUGAAAUUUUGAACAGAGCUUAAUUUGUGUUCUUCAGUGUCAGGAGACGGUAACCAAUCGUCGGAAAAGGCAAUCACUUAAUUUAAAAAUCAGAACUACCGGCGGCAAUGUACAAUGUGUCACAAAAUGAGAAACACACCCCGAAGGCUUUACGCCACCGCGUCUGAUCCGGAAUCAGUAAGCUGUUUUACGCCAAAUCAAAGUGACAAAAACAAACCCACACAGGGACCGGCUAAUCGUAACCAUCCAUGCACGUGGCCUACUACUCCUUAGUGUUGUGGUCGUCACGUAAGCUGAGCAAAGUACUUUUGCAUUUUCCUCUUGUCAGUUGAUGGUGUUAGAAAAGGGUGAGUGGUUUGGAUGUGAUGAAAAUGAAGAUUCUGAUAUUUCGAUAAGCAUCUCUGUCCUAGAAAAUGUCCGGAGGCAUAUUUCUCACCUAUAUAGGUUUCACAAGGGAGAACCACACCGAUGAAAAGGACAUGAAAAAGGGCCGCUAACCCUGGCAAUGGUUUCAAUUACAAUGUUCAACGUUCUAUUCCCCUAGUA